rnacentral:rRNA from 1 species
CCUACGGGAGGCAGCAGUGGGGAAUUUUGGACAAUGGACGCAAGUCUGAUCCAGCCAUGCCGCGUGCGGGAAGAAGGCCUUCGGGUUGUAAACCGCUUUUGUCAGGGAAGAAAUCUUCUGGGCUAAUACCUCGGGAGGAUGACGGUACCUGAAGAAUAAGCACCGGCUAACUACGUGCCAGCAGCCGCGGUAAUACGUAGGGUGCAAGCGUUAAUCGGAAUUACUGGGCGUAAAGCGUGCGCAGGCGGUUAUGCAAGACAGGUGUGAAAUCCCCGAGCUCAACUUGGGAACUGCACUUGUGACUGCAUAGCUAGAGUACGGUAGAGGGGAGUGGAAUUCCGCGUGUAGCAGUGAAAUGCGUAGAUAUGCGGAGGAACACCGAUGGCGAAGGCAGCUCCCUGGACCUGUACUGACGCUCAUGCACGAAAGCGUGGGGAGCAAACAGGAUUAGAUACCCUGGUAGUCCACGCCCUAAACGAUGUCAACUGGUUGUUGGGAGGGUUUCUUCUCAGUAACGAAGCUAACGCGUGAAGUUGACCGCCUGGGGAGUACGGCCGCAAGGUUGAAACUCAAAUGAAUUGACGG